rnacentral:rRNA from 1 species
AGGGAACGCGGGGGGGAGGCCUAACACAGGCAAGUCGAACGGCAGCACAAGCAGAGCUGGCCCUUACGGGUGGCGAGUGGCGGAUGGCUGUGGAAUACAUCGGAAUCUACUUUUCCGAGCGCGAUAACGUAGGGCAACUUACGCUAAUACCUCAUACGACCCACCAGUGAAAGCAGGGGAUCUUCGCACCUUGCGCGAUUGGAUGAGCACAUGUCGGAUUAGCUAGUUGGCGGCGGAAAGGCCGACCAAGGCGACGAUCCGUAGCUGGUCUGAGAGGAUGAUCAGCCACACUGGAACUGAGACACGGCCCCGACUCCUACGGGAGGCAGCCGUGGGGAAUCUGGGAAAAUGGACGCAAGCCUAAUCCGGCCAUACCGCGUGGGUGAAGACACCCUACGGGUUGUAAAGCUGUUGUGUUGAGAGAGAAAAGCAGCAGGUUAAUACCCCGCUGCUGUGAGGUUCCCCAAAGGAUAAGCACCGGCUAGCUUCGUG